rnacentral:rRNA from 1 species
CCUACGUGUGGCAGCAGUGGGGAAUAUUGCACAAUGGGGGAAACCCUGAUGCAGCGACGCCGCGUGAGUGAAGAAGUAUUUCGGUAUGUAAAGCUCUAUCAGCAGGGAAGAAGAAAGACGGUACCUGACUAAGAAGCGCCGGCUAACUACGUGCGAGCAGCCGCGGUAAUAAGUAGGGUGCAAGCGUUAUCCGGAUUUACUGGGUGUAACGGGAACGUAGACGGCUGUGCAAGUCUGCAGUGAAAGCCCAAGGCUCAACCCUGGGACUGCUUUGGAAACUGUGGAGCUAGAUUGAUGGUGAGGUAAGGGGAAUUCCUAGGGUAGCGGUGAAAGGCUUAGAUAGUAGGAGGAACACCAGUGGCGAAGGCGGCUUACUGGACAGUAACUGACGUUGAGGAUCGAAAGCGUGGGGAGCAAACAGGAUUAGAUACCCGGGUAGUC